CGUAGGUGAACCUGCNGAAGGAUCAUUA
rnacentral:rRNA from 1 species